rnacentral:lncRNA from 1 species
CUCAUAUCAAGGCAUGUGUAGUCUAUUUAUGAAAAAAUGUAGAAAAUUAUAAAAUAUAAUAUGGUAGAUAAAUAAAGAACACAAAGAUGAAUACAUUACCAAAAUUAAAAAAGUGAAAAAAAGAUGAAGAAACUAUUUGGAUUAAAUACAGAUAGAUGAACAGUGUGUCUUUAACAGAAGUGUGGGUGUUUGGCCUGAAAGUUAGGUUGGCAUUAGUAUUUUUUGUUUUUUGUUUUUUUGGCUGUGUCAACAGCUCCAGGACAUGCAUGAUCUUUGUUUUCCGACGAUGCGUGGAACCCAACAUUCUGCAUUUUGGAAGGUGGAGUCUUAACCGCUGGACCGCCAAGACAGUCCCUGCAUCAGUAUUGUUGAAUUUCAAGUCAAGACUCAUGUCCUGGCUUCGUGUGUGUACCAUGCUGGUGUGGUCUCCUAGUCAAACUGGAUUCUGUAAGUAUUGGGGGUUUGUGCAUUAUAGCCACGAGUUCAUCUUCCAUCUGCAUUGUCUUCCUGCAACUUAAACUUCUCAGAUUUCAGCUCAUCU